GGAAGGGAAGAAAAAAAGAGAAAGGAAAAGAAAGGGAGAAGGAGGAGGAGAAGAGAAGAAGAAGGAGGUAAAGAGAGAUCAUCAUUACACUUCAUAUUUCUCAAACAUCAAGAGAAAACAAGCUGAAGCAAUUCAUCAACUAGCAUAAAACUCAUGAUAGGGAGAAUGAUGAGAAUGAGAAAGACUCGUGUGAGACGUAGGUAUGUAGAGAUAACUAAUAAAGUUUUGACAACACGUUAAUAAUUUAAUUCUAAUUAAAAUUUAGUCAUAAAUGAUAUAAAAAAAACAUAAACAUAUUUAUCUUCAAAUAUGACGUGUUGUAUAUGUCUCAAUACAUGUUUUUAUCUAUUCGGGCUAAAAUCAUUAUGAUAAGAUAGUGAUAUCUGGAUUUGUUGUUGUAUGGGUUAAUACAAGUUUGAUAGAAUUUGGUGCAAGUGUUUAAGGAUGUUUAUGUUUCUAUAUUUAUGGGGUAAAGUUGUAUAG